GGACUACAGGGGUUUCUAAUCCUGUUUGAUCCCCACGCUUUCGUGCCUCAGCGUCAAUCGUUGCUUAGUGGGCUGCCUACGCAAUCGGUGUUCCGGGUCAUAUCUAUGCAUUUCACCGCUACAUGACCCGUUCCGCCCACCUCAACAACAUUCAAGACAAAUAGUAUCAAUGGCAGUUUCCGGGUUGAGCCCGGAGAUUUCACCGCUGACUUAAUUGUCCGCCUACACACCCUUUAAACCCAGUAAAUCCGGAUAACGCUUGCACCCUCCGUAUUACCGCGGCUGCUGGCAC
rnacentral:rRNA from 1 species